rnacentral:rRNA from 1 species
ACUCAAAUGAAUUGACGGGGGCCCGCACAAGCAGCGGAGCGUGUGGUUUAAUUCGAUGCAACGCGCAGAACCUUACCCAGGCUUGACAUGCGCGAAGUAGAACUGGGAAACCAGGACGACUCGUCGAGGCGAGAGCGCGCACAGAUGCUGCAUGGCUGUCGUCAGCUCGUGCCGUGAGGUGUUGGGUUAAGUCCCGCAACGAGCGCAACCCUCGUCGCCAGUUACGCUGUCUGGCGAGACCGCCGGGAUCAACCCGGAGGAAGGUGGGGAUGACGUCAAGUCAGCACGGCUCUUACGUCUGGGGCUACACACACGCUACAAUGGGCGGGACAACGGGCCGCGAAGGGGUGACCCGGAGCGAAUCCCAGCAAACCCGUCCUCAGUGGGGAUCGGAGGCUGCAACUCGCCUCCGUGAACGCGGAGUUGCUAGUAACCGCGGGUCAGCACACCGCGGUGAAUACGUUCCCGGGCCUUGCACACACCGCCCGU